rnacentral:rRNA from 1 species
CGUGUAGGCGGCUUGGUAAGCGGUCUGUGAAAGCCCGGGGCUCAACCCCGGAAUUGCAGACCGAACUGCUGGGCUAGAGAACGAGAGGGGACUGUGGAACUCUAGGUGGAGCGGUGAAAUGCGUAGAUAUCUAGAGGAACACCGGUGGCGAAAGCGACAGUCUGGCUCGUUUCUGACGCUGAGGCGCGAAAGCGUGGGUAGCAAACA